rnacentral:rRNA from 1 species
UACGUAGGAUCCGAGCGUUGUCCGGAUUUACUGGGUGUAAAGGGUGCGCAGGCGGAAUGGUAAGUCAGUGGUGAAAUCUCGUCGCUUAACGACGAAACUGCCUUUGAUACUAUCAUUCUUGAAUCCGGUAGAGAUCUGUGGAAUUCCGAGUGUAGCAGUGGAAUGUGUAGAUAUUCGGAAGAACACCAGUGGCGAAGGCAGCAGAUUGGGCCGGUAUUGACGCUCAGGCACGAAAGCAUGGGGAUCAAACAGG